rnacentral:lncRNA from 1 species
CAAGUGAUGCUUGCUGCCAUGCUACUGCCAAGGCUGAUCUUGAAUGUCUUUGUAGUUACAAGGAUUCAGGGUUGCUUUCUUUCUAUGGUAUUGAUCCAGAUCAAGCCAUGGAUCUCCCAGUUAAGUGUAAGCUUGUGGACUCCUUCAACUGCUAGACAAGGGCUUCUAAAUUAAUAAUGUAAUCCAUGAUUUUGCUCUUGUGUUUCUCCAAUUUUUGUUUUUAUUUUUGGUAUGCAAAUGUUAGUCUUUAGCAUGUUUAUUUUGCUAGAUGCCUAGACAAAGUUUAAUCAUCUUAAACCCUAGACCUUCUUCACAAAUUACGGAUAAUGUUUAUGUUUGUAUCAUGACAUGGUAUGCCUUGUUUUCUUGUGAGCUAUAUGUUUUUCCGGUGGUUAGAAACUUCUUUACAUAUGCUUGUAAUUUAUUCUUGGCCAAAUACCAUUAGUGGUUUUUAAGUUAGAUAUUUAUCAGAAGUUAACCUUUAAGUUAUUUUUGUCAUAAAUUGGUCUUAAAUUUAUUUUUAAUUUCAAAUUGAUAAUUGAAGUCAUAAAAUAUUUAUUUGUUACCCAUUUGUUUAGUCAGCUUUAACAUUGAAGUAGUAUAUCUAAAAGUGCUUAUAACAUCUAACAUGAAUACUUACAUGCACAUUCUUCUUAUUUUUGAAUUCAAGCUUAAUUUUACAGAUAAAUAUUUCAUCAACAAUAUUAUAAGUAAUCGAUCAAUUUAAUUUCAAAAUCAAGACUGAUAAUACACAUAUGAACCUUAGUUGUGAGAGAUGUGAAAUUGAAAAUACCAACUUAACAUUAAACUUCCACAUAAACACUUUUUAACAGAGGACCGAUUUGUAAAAAAAAAAAAAAAAAAAAAAAACUUAAAAAACUAACUUAUUAUAAACAUCUAACUUAAAGGAUCACAAAUGAUAUUUGACCUUAAUUCUUUCAAUUAAAAUCUUAUGCAUGUCAAUAAAUCGAUUUGCAUAACAAAAUGUGAGACGGUGAAACCAAAUAAUUUGAUUCAAGUGAUUAAUGAACUUCAUCAAAGACAUCUUUUAAGGAGAACCUAACUUCAAUUCUUGAGUGGAACAAAUUUUACUUACCCUCAAUGCCAAACUCCAAUUAUCAAAGUUUUUUCCCUCUCUGAGAAUCCGAUGGUUAAAAAAAACCUUGACGCGGUGCAGAUAGAGAAUAAAAUAAUUCUUUGGCCAUCUUAAC